GACCGUGUAGCUCAGUUGGCAGAGCAUUGGGCUAGUAUUCCAAAGGUCGUAGGUUCGAUUCCCACCGUGGACA